UACGAAGGGGGCUAGCGUCGCUCGGAAUCACUGGGCGUAAAGCGCACGUAGGCGGCUUUCUAAGUCAGGGGUGAAAUCCUGGAGCUCAACUCCAGAACUGCCUUUUGAUACUGGAGAGCUUGAGUCCGGAAGAGGUGAGUGGAACUCCGAGUGUAGAGGUGAAAUUCGUAGAUAUUCGGAAGAACACCCGUGGCGAAGGCGGCUCACUGGUCCGGUACUGACGCUGAUGUGCGAAAGCGUGGGGAG
rnacentral:rRNA from 1 species